rnacentral:lncRNA from 1 species
AAAUGAACAGGAGAAGGCAAGUAUAUACAGGUCAGUGCCAGCCCCUUAUUCAACGUGCAGGGGUACUAGAGUGGUCGAUGUGGGUUUAUACAUAUGAAGUGACUGGUAAUGGGAAUAUAUAUAUAUGUGUGUGUGACUGGUAGUAGGAUAUACAUGUAAACAGGACUGAAAAGUGACUGGUAAUGGGAAUAUAUAUAUGUGUGACUGGUAGUAGGAUAUACAUGUAAACAGGACUGAAAAGUGACUGGUAAUGGGAAUAUAUAUAUGUGUGACUGUGACUGGUAAUGGGAAUAUAUAUAUGUGUGACUGGUAGUAGGAUAUACAUGUAAACAGGACUGAAAAGUGACUGGUAAUGGGAAUAUAUAUAUGUGUGACUGGUAGUAGGAUAUACAUGUAAACAGGACUGAAAAGUGCCUGGUAAUGGGUAUACUGUACAUGUUUAUGUAUUUCUCCUGUUCCUCGAGAGAGAGAGAGCACCUGUUAGAUCAAUUUGAGUGUUUAAUCCUGCAGCAUUCCACAGGUGUUUCUGGUUUCGCUAAACCUGUAAUCAUAUCUGCUAAAAUAUGUGUAUGUGACCAAUAAAAUGGAAUUUGAUUUGAUAACUGACAAAGUCAUGGAUCGUAAAAAAUGAUCUGUAAUGUGUAAGUGGUGCAUAUGUUGUUGUCUAUUUGGUGUCAUUGAAGUGUCUCUCCAGAGUCUUACCAAGCACAACCCUGUAAACCACAUUUCCCUCAUUUGUGAUCGCUUUUUGUUUUCAAUAUUUGAUCAGAUUAGAGUUCCUUUGUCGUUUUGUGACCAAAAACAAUGUGAACAUACUUUUGUAUUUUGUAUCUUUGUGUUUGGAUGUUUGGUUGAACAUAUUAGUGAGUCACUUGGUGACAGAUGUAGACACGAUUUACAGUGUACGACUCUUUUAAAGCUAUAGGAUACAGCCAACUGAUAACCUAGCCUACAGGAACAACUGAAUGAUCAUAUACCGAAUGUGAUUGGUCUGAUGAUGUGUCCGUCAGGAGAAGGUAUCCUCCAAACCUCCAGUCUUGUGAAUGUAAAACCACACCAUUGGAUUCUUGUCUCGUAUGCCAGGAAUACUUUUGUAAAGUGCUGAGUUUUGUGUAAAAUAAAUUUCAGGUUUAUCAA